UCGAGCGAGCUUGCCUAGAUGAUUUUAGUGCUUGCACUAAAUGAAACUAGAUACAAGCGAGCGGCGGACGGGUGAGUAACACGUGGGUAACCUGCCCAAGAGACUGGGAUAACACCUGGAAACAGAUGCUAAUACCGGAUAACAACACUAGACGCAUGUCUAGAGUUUGAAAGAUGAUUCUGCUAUCACUCUUGGAUGGACCUGCGGUGCAUUAGCUAGUUGGUAAGGUAACGGCUUACCAAGGCAAUGAUGCAUAGCCGAGUUGAGAGACUGAUCGGCCACAUUGGGACUGAGACACGGCCCAAACUCCUACGGGAGGCAGCAGUAGGGAAUCUUCCACAAUGGACGAAAGUCUGAUGGAGCAACGCCGCGUGAGUGAAGAAGGGUUUCGGCUCGUAAAGCUCUGUUGGUAGUGAAGAAAGAUAGAGGUAGUAACUGGCCUUUAUUUGACGGUAAUUACUUAGAAAGUCACGGCUAACUACGUGCCAGCAGCCGCGGUAAUACGUAGGUGGCAAGCGUUGUCCGGAUUUAUUGGGCGUAGAGCGAGUGCAGGCGGUUCAAUAAGUCUGAUGUGAAAGCCUUCGGCUCAACCGGAGAAUUGCAUCAGAAACUGUUGAACUUGAGUGCAGAAGAGGAGAGUGGAACUCCAUGUGUAGCGGUGGAAUGCGUAGAUAUAUGGAAGAACACCAGUGGCGAAGGCGGCUCUCUGGUCUGCAACUGACGCUGAGGCUCGAAAGCAUGGGUAGCG
rnacentral:rRNA from 1 species